UUCCCUUACUUUCGGAAGGAGGGCUAUACUCGACGAAUCCGAUGAUCGCGUGUCUUUGGACACACCCCAUCAUAGUUUUCCUCUGUGGCAUCAUUGGGACGAAGAUUCAUUCUUUCUGGAGAUCUCAUCGACGAAGGGAGUAGCGCCUUACGAUCAGUGAGUAUUACACGUUUGAGUUAGAUUUUGUGAGCAAGUAUAUCUAUUAUCCCGUUGACCGUGGAUUCAUUAUCGAACCUAAGACCAUUAUCACUAGUGUCGUGAGUGCCUAAUCGCCGCUGUUGAUUGUCGAAUCGGUAGUGUUCAUACUCGUAGUAUCAGGCCGUAUCUUCGUUCUAACACAACGAUGGCCAACUCCAAGGGAGAUCUAUCAAACGCCCACAACCCUGUUCCUGACUCUUCUCCGACAUAUAUAAUUGUAUAUUAUAUAUUAUAUAUUAAAUGCGUAUUAUUUAUAUUUGUUGAAAAUGACAACGUGAGUUCGUGCUCGCCAUCCAUAUGCAGAUGCGUUAGUUAUAAAAAAUAGUAACUAGAGAAUGAUCCUAGUUACAAUCGAUAGAAUUAAUCGAUAGGCUUAAGAUGCUUUUUUGUUCUUAUCCCUAGUUUUUGUAAGCGCGUGCAAUAAAGGUUUUUUUUCGGCUCAGAACGGUGUGAUAGAUUUAUCCAUUCAAUAAAAUAACUAUUCUGAUCCUACCUCUAAGUAUAGAAAUAACAACAGGUUAUGGGCCCAGGUGCAAUAAUUAGUUAUUAUUUUUAUUGAAAAUAUUAUUAAUAGUAAUAAUAUUGAGGAGCGCAGAAGAUAACCUAAAAAAAAAAAAAAAAAAAGGGGGUGCGUGAUCGAUGAUUCAGUGUUGAAUAUCAUAAGGACGCUUUAUCGAGUAUACAAUAAUUUUUUACGUGAUAAUACAGUUAUCAAAAGAAAAAAAAAAUGUCGAGCGGGGCGAGUUUAAGUAUUGAAAAACUAAAUAAAGAAAAUUACGACACAUGGAAAUUGCAAAUGGAAGCAAUACUCAUUAAAGAUGACUUGUGGGGAUAUGCAAAUGGUUCAAUAAUUAAACCGGAAGCAGCGGAUGAAGCCUCUUUAUGGAAUAAAAGGGAUGAUAAAGCCAGAGCCGAUAUUAUUCUUACCAUAAGUUCGAGUGAGCUAUGUCAUGUGAAGCAUUGCAAAAUUUCACAUGAAAUGUGGAAUAAAUUAAAGGAGGUUUACGAAUCCAAAGAACCCGCAAGAAAAGGUACGCUUUUGAAGCAAUUAUUAUUCACGAAAAUGUCCGGUAGUGAAAAUAUGUCCGAUCACUUAAAUAAUUUUUUCAGCCACGUGGAUAAAUUAAAAGAAAUGGAUAUUCCAAUCGCUGAUGAUUUAUUGUCAAUUCUAUUAUUAUAUAGCGUCCCGAAUACAUACGAAAAUUUUAGAUGUGCAAUCGAAUCGCGGGACCAAUUACCUACUCCAGAUGCGCUUAAGAUAAAAUUAUUAGAACAAGCUAAUUCUCGUCAUAAUUCAAAUAUUGUGAAUGAUCACUAAGAAGCUCUACAAGUGGAAGAUUCAAAUAAACACAAAAGGUAUGAUAAAAAUAGAAAUUUUUCUAAUAAAAAUAGAUUUAUUAAAAGCUAAUAAAGUAAAACACAUUGAAUGUUUUUAUUGUCACAAACGUGGACAUAAGGCAAAUCAGUGUUUGAAGAAGAAAAACGAUGAUCACAAAGCUCAACUAGCACAAGUUCCUGAAAUACCCAAAACUGAACAAUGCUUGCGUGCUUCCAAUAUUCAGGAUGAAGAUAAUCAGGAUAAUAGUAUUAUUACUGAUGUUUCAUUGAAUAUAAACAUGGAACCACCGAUGGAAUGGUACAUUGACAGCGGUGCUACGUUACAUAUGUGGGAUGGUGUAACGUCAGGGAAGGACGUGGCUGAUUGUUUAUAAACGUUGUCAAGAUAUGUUAAUGUUGUCAAGGAGUGUUGUGAGCGUUACCAAGGUUUGUUAAGGGAAAAAUGAGCGUGGUAAAUGCUGUCAGAGUUGAAUUAAUCGUGGUCGAGAGAAGUUCAUCGUGUUGCUGUGACGUAGAAUUAGUGAGAAGCGAAUUCGUGAAAUGCGAUAUUAUAUUCGAUUCUGUGAGAGUGCAACGAUAUUGUGUUUAUCAUACUGUUUUUUCUGUUAAUUUAUAAUAUAACAUUCCUACACAUAUGUGAUGUGACAUAAACUGUUUUGAAUCCAUAGAGCCAGUCAGAAAUCAAAAAGUAAAAUUAGCGAAUGACAAAUUAGCUGAAGUCAAAGGUAAAGGUACUGCAAUAUUAUUUAGUUAUAUAAAAAACAAACUUGAGAAAUUUAGAUUGGAAAACGCAUUAUACGUACCAGAAUUAAAGGCAAAUUUGAUCUCAGUAUCAAAAGUUACCGCAAAUGGAAAAAGGAUUGUAUUUACAAAUAGAAUGGCUACAAUAUUUGGAAAGAAGGAUGAAGUCGUUAUUACUGCUAUUCGUAAAAGGGAUUUAUAUAUUGUAGAUACAAAAUCCAAAUAUAUUGGUAUGGUAUAUGAAAACAGAAAUACACUUAUGGAUUGGUACUAUCGAUAUGGACACUUAAAUGAAUCUGAUCUUUGGAGAUUAAUAAAUAAAAAUAUGGUAAAUGGUCUACCUAACAUAAGAUUGAGUAAAAUGAAUACUUGCGAAAUAUGUAGGCAGCAACCUCGAUGCCAAAGAGAUCUGAAUUAAAGAUGUUGGAAAAAUUAGAACUGAUACAUUCUAAUGUAUGUGGCCCUAUAAGACAAACAUCUUUGGGUGGAGCAAAGUAUUUUGCCACCUUUAUUGAUGACACGUCAUAUAUAAUCUGUAAAUCGUAACUUGUCAAUCUACUAGUACUUACAUUAUAAAUUGGUAAACUUUUGUGUGUGUGUUGAGGGGAGGGGGGAGUGCUAGAUAUAACACUGAUGCGACAUUUUGAAAAAUAUUUAAUUAUAAUCAUGAAAGGCGUUAUUGAAAUAUUGAAUUCUUAUUAAUGUUCCUUGCAACUUCAAUUUUGCGUAUCAUAUUUAAAAUGUACAUAAGAUGUAAAGUAUAUUGACAAGUAACAGUCACAAAAUUGUUUCAAAUGAGGAUAAUCAUCCUAAUAUCAACUUAUCAAUUGUGAUCUGAUAAGCAAAAAUUCAAAAUACAGUUAAACUGUGUUCUACAUACAAUAAUCUUUUUCGGAUGAGAUUUAAAUAUAUGAACAUAUUGUGAUAUUUUGUCCAUAAUAACAUGAAUAAUACAAAGUUUCGUAUUACAUAUACUAUAUUUUUUAAU